GAUGAACGCUGGCGGCGUGCCUAAUACAUGCAAGUCGAGCGGUGAAGGCGGAGCUUGCUCCGCUGGAUCAGUGGCGAACGGGUGAGUAACACGUGGGCAACCUGCCCCUCACUUCGGGAUAACUCCGGGAAACCGGGGCUAAUACCGGAUAUGACCUCCUUGGGCAUCCUUGGAGGUGGAAAGUUUUUCGGUGAGGGAUGGGCCCGCGGCCUAUCAGCUUGUUGGUGAGGUAGUGGCUCACCAAGGCGACGACGGGUAGCCGGCCUGAGAGGGCGACCGGCCACACUGGGACUGAGACACGGCCCAGACUCCUACGGGAGGCAGCAGUGGGGAAUAUUGCGCAAUGGGCGAAAGCCUGACGCAGCAACGCCGCGUGCGGGAUGACGGCCUUCGGGUUGUAAACCUCUUUUAGUAGGGAAGAAGCGAAAGUGACGGUACCUGCAGAAAAAGCACCGGCUAACUACGUGCCAGCAGCCGCGGUAA
rnacentral:rRNA from 1 species